rnacentral:rRNA from 1 species
CAGUGGGGAAUAUUGCACAAUGGGCGCAAGCCUGAUGCAGCCAUGCCGCGUGUAUGAAGAAGGCCUUCGGGUUGUAAAGUACUUUCAGCAGUGAGGAAGUGGGUAUGUUAAUAGCAUAUUCAUUUGACGUUAGCUGCAGAAGAAGCACCGGCUAACUCCGUGCCAGCAGCCGCGGUAAUACGGAGGGUGCGAGCGUUAAUCGGAAUUACUGGGCGUAAAGCGCAUGCAGGUGGUUUGUUAAGUCAGAUGUGAAAGCCCGGGGCUCAACCUCGGAAUUGCAUUUGAAACUGGCAAACUAGAGUACUGUAGAGGGGGUAGAAUUUCAGGUGUAGCGGUGAAAUGCGUAGAGAUCUGAAGGAAUACCGGUGGCGAAGGCGGCCCCCUGGACAGAUACUGACACUCAGAUGCGAAAGCGUGGGGAGCAAACAGGAUUAGAUACCCUGGUAG